GAUUAUAAAUUGUAUCCAAUCACAGUGCGCGGAGUAUUAUCAUAUCCUUAUCAUGAAUCUUUAUCACAGAUCGAUGUUUGGAAUCCAAACUUAUAGCCGUGGUUCGGAUAUUACAUUUGAUUUUUGUAUUAAUAAUUAUUUACAUAAUAUUAUUUACGUAAAAUGAAUACGAAUUUAUUAUUUAAUAUUUACGCAUUUCCGUUAUUCAAUAAGACGCGGGAAUUGUGAUUGUGAUUGUUAUAAUUUCUUUUUGUGUUUUGUCUCUACCUACUAGAUUAUCAAUAUGAAACGGAUAGCUACUCAAUCGUUAGUACUUAUAAUAUUAGAAGUUUAUUAUUACCUACUUGCGAUUUAUAACACCCAACGGACAUCAUCAAAAUUACGAACAAGAGAGGAGUGUAAAAAAGUCAAGACCAAGGGACAAACAAUUAAUUUUCAUGGUUGUCUAUAUGGUACAAAACCAUGUUGCAACUGGCAAAUUUCCAACUAUAAACGGAAAAAAUGACCUCGAAGUCUCGUGGGAUGAGUUGGUUAUACACCUCAACAAUCUUCGGAAUCCUGGCGCAGAGGAAAAAAAUAUAAAAUCCUGGAAAGAGUCAUGAAGUAUGUUCCGCUAUAGUCUAUUGAUCCUAUGAAAUCAAUCAAUUCAGAUGAUACUAAUUGUUCAGUUAUAUACAGCCAAGUUAAGUUGCCAGAGUCUAUUGGCCCUAUGAAAUCGACCAGCUCAGAUGAUACUUGUCAAUUUAUACACAGUCGAGUUGAGCUUGUAUCUAUAAUAAAUCAUUCCUUGAGAAAAUGCAAAGGCUAUCUAAAAGAAAUCAAUUUUACUCAGAAAAAACACAUGACACCACAAAAAUAAUUUCUAUAAAAGACAGUAGUGAAUCUGAAAAAAACGUUAUCCAUUGUAAAAAAGCAACAUUCAAUAACUGAACAUAAGGGUUCAGUUGCUGCCCAGGUGUUCAGUCAGAGAGUUUAGCUUUUACUCUCGGAAUAGUCUAUUUGUAUGUGGCAACGAUAAAGGAAGCUCAAGACACUGCAAAACUCUGUUUAUUUGUAAAUUAAAUUAUUUUACAGUGUUAAUAAUAGUUCCACAAUUAUUCAGCUUGGGAAGGAAUUGCGUAAUUCUGUGACGUCCACAUCAAUGCUUUGGAAAUUCUGGAAGGAAGCUCUGUUGGUUUUAGAGAAUAUGAAUUUUGCAACCAGUAAAGUUCCAACCAUAAAAACCUGGAUAUCCACAAUAAAAUGUUUUGAAUAUUUAUGUAAAAAACUUUUAAAUAACGGUUUUAAAUCUGUAUCGCUGCGCUCGUUUAAUCAAGACCCAGUGGAAAAUAUUUUUUUAUCUGUUAGGUCCGUAGUCAUGGUUUACGAAAUACAAUCGCAACUUAUUUCCAUUUUAAAAAUUCAUUUAAAUAACUCAUUAUCAAUAAUUUGAUUUCUUCUCAAUCUGUUGGUGCAAACUGCCAAAAAUAUAAUUGUGAUAAUUUAAUGUGAAAAAAACUUGAUACCUUAAUUAUGACAAGGAGGCAGGAAUUAUAUACUUUUG